CGCGGGGGCGGGCGGGCCGGAGCCGCGCCGGGCUUGUGCCGCCCCUCAGGCCGCGCGGGGCCUGGGGAUCGCCCCGCUUAGGCCUGGCCUGGUUCGCAGCCGGGGGAGCGUUGGGAACAGUGGAACUGUUUUAAUGGUCACCGAUGAUAAACGUCGUAAAACUGAGCAGACUCCAGUCAAGCGUUUCAAUUAGUACGUACUAGUCCAAAUUGAAGUACAAUGCACAGUGUAUCUUGCACCACACUGCACCAAGGGAAGAAGAAAAUAUCCAUCCUGUUCUAGGGUCAAGAUACUUUAUAAAGCAACUUCCGUAAUCUAAUGUUAGCCAUGGAGAACAGAGGAGCUAUGGGAACCUGAGCAAUGGAACAGAAGGGUUUGAAAACAUCUGCUGAAGUGUCCCGGGUUAAACACUACCCUUAUCCUGUGCUUCUCUCGCUUGUGCAGAGGACUGUAAGCUAAACAGGUAAGCAAGAUUUCCUUACCAUUUGGAAUUCUUACCUCAGUGUAUGCUCUCUCUGCUAUAGCUAAUCCAGUUAGCUUGAGUCACAGGAAAGCAUUUCUGGGGACUUUAGAGGAGUAUUGCCUUAGCAUGGAAGUGUUCAAAAGACUUUCAGAUGAGGCAGAGGGACAUGGUUCAGUGGUGGGUUUGGCACUGCUGGGGGAUCAGUUGGACACAAUGGUAUUUGAAACCUAAACGAUUCUGUGAUUCCACCUGCACAAAUGACAAGAAUUCAGAACUUCUACAGAACAAGCAAAUUGGAAAGGAUGAUAGUGUGAGAAAGGAAUCAAUGCUGCUUAUAUUGAGUUUGUAUUGCAGGUACAAUAAAGACGUGUUGUGACACUGGUAUGGUACUCAACAAAAUAUAAUCCAAGACCCUUUAUUUCAUGGGAGGUGGCAAAAUUGUUGAGAUCAUUCUUGUUUUGUUGCCGUAAGAAAAAAACAUAAUUGGGAAAAAAUGACAUGUCCUCUAGAUGGUGAGUUCUGUUUUGCUUGAGGAAAUGAAAUGCAGUAUCAGAUAAGGGCUAGCAAAAUACUUUUCCUCAGUUUUCAGCUUGGUCAUAUGGGAACUCUUAUCCAGUAGAGUGCACAGAAGCCUGGAAAUACCUGGAAAUAUAUGCCUACUGCUACUGAAAGUUCAGCUGAUAUUGUCAUGUGGGAAGGACUUACCAGGACCUAUGUGUUGAUGGAAACUUGGAGAACACCAAACUGAGGAGUAAGGGAAAUAGGAGUUUUAGGCUGUAAUUGGAAAAGAUAGGAAACAGUGGAAGAGAGGGGCAAACCCAGCAUUGAAUAAAUGAAGACUUCUGCAGAAAUAAUACCCAAAUGAAAUAAUGAAGAGUAGAAUAAAUAACAUCUAUCUGCAGCCUUCUGGAAACAAGCUGCUACCACACCUGAUUUGCAUUUCUUUCAGCUCUGAAAACACUAGCAAAAAAACAGUAGCUAAAAAGGCAGGAUUCUGAGAUCAAGACCACAACUUAUACUGUCGAGUGUCUGAGCCACUGACAUCUGUGAUCUUCUUUCUUCAUUUUGUCAUAUUGUGACUUUGAUGCCCAAUUUGGAAUUUUCUAAGGAUGGUCUAAACCAGUACUAGAUCUUCAGGAUAGAGACAAAGGUUUUUCCAAUUUUUAGUACUUUGUUUAUCUGCCUAAAUAAUUUUAAAGGCCUUCCCCAAGUAAGUAAAAAUUUUGUUUCUCAUAUUGUCCCCAUUAUGAUUUGAGGAUUAAUUUUAGGGUUGUUCAUCAUGUGUCAUCUGAAUAUACCUGUUGAAAAAUUCAUUCAUUCUCCAGAACUCACAUCAGUGGGAAUCUUCUGGCCCAGGGUGUGCAAGGACACUGUCCUUCUUGCUGCCAGCAUGGAAUGUGACCCACCAGCGUGACCUGGGGAACUUCAGCAUGUCCCAUUAUUUCCUGGCUACUCUGUCAGCCCCAUAUAUCUGCCAGCAGCUCAGAAAUUGGCCUGAAUCUGUGCCUGGUUGUGAAUUGAAAGAACUGUAAAGACACCCCUGCAGCCCUCAUUUCUCCACUGCAAAGCCUGCUCAGCUGUAACUAAGAACCAUAGCCACAUUAUGGAAAAUGCAUAGUCUUUCCUAUAUGGUUCUUGAGGUGUUUAAGGAAAUGUUAAUGAAUAAAUGCUGUGCACUUAUACAAAGCAGGAGAUACAACACCAUGUUGCCCAAAUAAGGGAAUCAUGCCAUAAUGUAGUAUGGGCCAAAACCCACAGAAUGGAUUCAUACCAAAAAUUGAGACUAUUGCAUGGGACUUGUUCUCAGUCUUGCACACUAAAUCCCCAAAGUGUGAUCUUCUGUUUGAGCAGUAGAUACACACUGUUACAGUUUUGGAGACAGGUAAGUGACAGGCACAUAAUGGGGUUCGUGCAGUAACUGCUUAAGUUUAUUAUGGGGCAGGUCCUUUUAUAGGGCUUUCAAAUUUCCUUCACUUACAGACAUGAUUGGUUACGGGUCUCAACUCCACUUAGCUUACUGGCUAAUGAUAUGGGAGCAUCUGUGCUUCAAAGGGGUUGGCUGAGGUCCUCUGUUUGGGUUUGAAUCUGACCUAUCAUUAUUGUGUCCAGGGACUUGUUUACUUCGAGCUAGGCUAGUCAAACUGGUAUCUGUUAAGCCAAAUUAUCUGUGCAGCUUAUAGACCCACUAUAGCUGUGUCCUAGGGUGACAGUAUGGUGCUUGUAUCCCAAAUCGUGUGUUCUGUUUAUGCCUGAUAUUAUAUUCUGUGCCUUCAGGACUGACUCUGAAAGUGAAGGAUUGUUUUGUCUUGUUAUCAGCCGGCUCACCUCCCCCCAUGGUCUGUAAACACCAAAAGUCUGCAUUUUUGUAACCUGCAGCAGCCAUCCCCAGCGCCGGAGACUGAUAGCUGGGCGACCACUCCCAGGAG